UGGUUCUGGCAUNGAUGAAGAACGCAGCAAAAUGCGAUAAGUAGUGUGAAUUGCAGAAUUCAGUGAAUCAUCGAAUCUUUGAACGCACAUUGCGCCCUUUGGUAUUCCUUAGGGCAUGCCUGUUCGAGCGUCAUUUCAACCCUCAAGCACAGCUUGGUGUUGGGCGCCUGUCCCGCCUACGGCGCGGACUCGCCUCGAAAUGAUUGGCGGCCCUUCCAGCGGCUCUGAGCGCAGCAGAAUUGCGUCUCCGGCGGCGGGGAGUGGCGACCAGAAGCUUUUUUUUUAAUUUUGACCUCGGAUCAGGUAGGGAUACCCGCUGA
rnacentral:misc_RNA from 1 species